CCUACGGGUGGCUGCAGUGAGGAAUAUUGGUCAAUGGGCGGGAGCCUGAACCCGCCAAGUCGCGUGAAGGAAGAAGGUACUUAGUAUUGUAAACUUCUUUUGUCGGGGCACAAAGGCGGAGACGCGUCUCCGGAUGAGUGUACCCGAAGAAAAAGCAUCGGCUAACUCCGUGCCAGCAGCCGCGGUAAUACGGAGGAUGCGAGCGUUAUCCGGAUUUAUUGGGUUUAAAGGGUGCGUAGGCGGAUCGUUAAGUCAGUGGUCAAAUUGAGGGGCUCAACCCCUUCCCGCCAUUGAAACUGGCGCUCUUGAGGGGAAGAGAAGGAGGCGGAAUGCGUGGUGUAGCGGUGAAAUGCAUAGAUAUCACGCAGAACCCCGAUUGCGAAGGCAGCAUGCCGGCUUCCGACUGACGCUGAAGCACGAAAGCGUGGGGAUCGAACAGGAUUAGAUACCCCUGUAGUC
rnacentral:rRNA from 1 species